rnacentral:snoRNA from 1 species
GCUCAAUGAUGAUAUAAAGGCUAAUGUGACUCACGGGUGGGGUUGCACGCUCAGCCCAUUCCAGCAAUACGGGUCUGUAAUCUUGGUGGACAAUGCAGAGCUGUGCGUGUUCGCUGUAAGGGCAGGCCAACAUCAAAUCCCCUUCCCCAUGUCCCAGGGCGAUGCGUCGCUGGGAUGCUUCGGCUCUGAGCGAGUGCUUCUGAACCGACGGGGGGCGGUGGGAAUAGGACAGGCAAGCGUCUCCAUGGUUUGGGUUGCAGGGUUCAGCCCGUGUUACAGCUGGUGAGAUGUGAGCACAAAUCUUUGGUAAUCUGAUAACU